rnacentral:ncRNA from 1 species
AGGGAGUUUUUCCUCCUAAAUUUUUUAUAUGAGAGGGUUUUACAUGUAUUUUUUUGAGGUAGUGUAGAUGGAUUUUAAAUAAAUUGAUUGAAUAGGGGCUUGAUUGCAGUAGAUAGUUUUAUUUAGUUUAAGAAAUUAAGACGGAGUUAAUCUAAGAGUGUAAACUAAGUUUGUGCCAGCAGUUGCGGUUACACAAACUAUGCAGUGGAAAAUUUUUAGUUUGGGAUAAAAGUAGAAACAGGGAAUUUAAUUUGGGAUUUAUUAGGUGAAAUUUUAUGUCUUGGGUUGGUUUGUAGGGGAUUGUUUGAUCGUGGAAGAUUCUAUGAUGAGACUAGGAUUAGAUACCCUAUUAUUAGAAAAGUAAAUGUUGAUGACUGAAUUAGUAGAAGUUAAUUUUUUUGAAAGUUAGGAUAAUUGGCGGUUUUUUAGUCUAUUCAGAGGAACCUGUCCUGUGAUUGAUAGUCCACGGUUAGAAAGGACUUUAUUUUUAAAUUUACAUAUCGCCGUAGGUAGAAUAUUUUUUUAGAGAUUGAAUAUUCAUGAUUUAGAGUUAGUUAAAAUCAGGUCAAGAUGUAGUUUAUAGUAAAGUAGAGAUGGGUUACAAUAAAUUUAUUUAAACGGAGGUAGAGUUUAAAACGAAUUUAAGGUGGAUUUGAGAGUAAUUUUGGGUGUAUACCUGAGAUGAUUAAAGCUCUAAGAUAUGUACAUAUCGCCCGUCGCUUUCGUUUAAGAUGAAAUAAGUCGUAACAAAGUAGGUGUACUGGAAAGUGCCCCUAGAAAGAC